CGUACAGUUCAGUCUGUUCUAAGCACAAGACAAGACACCAUACAUCAGGUUUACAGAAGGACAGCAAAAAGACACAAGUACGAGACAUCAGUUGUACAAAAUGAAAGCUAAAAUAUCCAAUUGACGCGGAUCGCCGGCUUCAUGGUUCAUUUCCUUAUGUUUGCUUCCUACAGAAGUUAAAGAAGUCUCAAUUAUUAGAAUGUUCAAUUAAUUUAUAAAAUUGAAUACAGGCAGAAUUCAUAUCUGCACUGUGCACACACAAGAGCACAAAAUGAGGAAUACACUUACCUAAUCUAUAAAAGUAGCAUUUCAGAACAUGAACACCACCAAUCGACUCCCAGCAGUGGCCAUGGAUGUGGAAUGGAAGCCCUUUGUACGAUUGCUGAUCAUUUAGUGUUCCUAGGGACAUACUUAAGUUAUUGUGCAUAUGUACCAGCACCCAAUAUUCUAACACUUGUUUCCAAAAAAUAAAUGUCCGUAGGGAAUACAGUGUCAUAGGUAUGAGAGAAAUAAAAAUGAGUUGUGCGAACCACCAAUAUUUGCAUUACUAUUACAGCCAUACAAGGAAAAAUAUAUCGGAAAUUUAAAAUUACUAUCUCAAAUGUAGAACCAGGUUACACAUUUCUUUUGCAAUUUACAAAGGCAUAACCAGCAUCUGUAUGAUAACUAAAUAUAUGUACACUGCUAAUUAUUCUAUACGUACAGAUUAUAAAUACUAGGUUAUUCCUGAUACUUACUGACUAAUAGCUCAUGGGUGGGCGCCUUCUUCAUGGCUGGGUAGAAUGGAAAAAUUAUGCGUGCUGCCAUAUUGAAAUAUAGUUAGUCAAGAUCUUUUUUUAGGGAUAGUUAGUCAAGAUCUUGAUAAAGAUACAAUUUACUAUAUUGGCCUAGAAACAGGAUUCAGAAAUAGCAACUUUAAAAGCAAAUACCGAUGUAUUAUGCUCUGUUCUGUACUAUGGAUGUGCUAAUUGGAGUGUUCUGUAAUUCCAAAUUAAAAUAUUACUAUUAAGCAAUAAGCAGCUACCAGUGUAAACAAGAUACAAUGUUCUGAUAAAUUUAACUAUAAUUAACAGCAACUAGCAGUGUUCUGUACUAAUGGCAGAAAGUAGGCUCUGUAGCCGUAUACCAUAAACCAUAUUGUAGUCUUCAAUAAAACACAGGGAAACCAAUUAAAUGAAAGUAGGCUCUGUUUCACUUCUCUUUUAAUUGAGCAAUUAGUUCUUUUGAUGGAGAGAUCAAGUUAAUGCUGACCAAGAACUAAAAGUGUAAAACAAUGAUAAACUUAUGUACCGAUUGGCUCGUCAAGCUAUUGUGAAUUCAAGUGUCGCAAAUACUACAUGGUAAGUCUACAGACUUGCUGGUUCUUUACCAUUUGACCAGAGCAGAUAGGCAAAUGCUAACACAUCGCUUGCUGGUUCUUUACCAUUUGCUGGUUCUUUACCAUUGAACCCUGCAAACUUCAGGGUGUCAAUGGUUUGAAGUAGAAGUAACAAGUGUAUCUAUAAUAUUCAGUUGGUUUGGUACACACUUAAAACUUUAGAAAAUCUCCAGAGAUAGACUUGUUUUAACUUCUAAAUGGUAUCAGAACUGACGCAAAAUGUCCAGCCAACUGUUUGACAUUCAUUUUGUAACCUAUCUUAUUAUUCAAAAUGGACCGCAAUAUAGUAGUAUGAAUGUACGUCAGUCUGAUGGUGUGGUUCUUCUAUUCAUUGGAAGAAAAGUACAAUCGUGCUUGUGCUUUCAUAUGCUAAUCACAAAUGAGUAAGGAUGAUUGAUAGAUGAGCAACUAGAAAAGCCCUAUGUACAUCUUACCUGGCUACGACGCAAUUGUGCAUAAAUAGAAGCAGCUUCUUGAAGAAUCCUCAGUUCUUCCUCUUGUUCCAGAUUUAUGUAAAUCAAUUCAAUUGCACCCUCACAUGUUAACAUGUUGGUAGGUUUGAUUAUUGAGUUCUCUAUCGAAUAUUUCUGCAAUGCCGUCGCACAAAAAUGGAUGUAUUCAUUACACUUAUUAUAAAGAAAAAUAUAGUAUCUCCCGAACAAAAUAAUAAUGGAUGCAUGUACAUCAAUCAUCUAUUCAUUACACUUACUAUAACAACAUUAAUCAUGUAUACAACUGAAAUAAUAAAAUAGGUACUUACCCUGGAACCACCAAAUUCAUGUAUCAUGGUAAGUACCUAUUUUAUUACCAAUCCUCAAACUUAACAAAGUAUGCAGACUCACUUAUAAAUCAAGGAGUUGGUCAUCUUUAGUGGCUAAUGUCUAUGAUGCAAAAUUUAUUUCAACUAGUUACUGACCACAAAGACAAAACAAUAAUCAAAACUAGGUUUCAUCACUUGCAUGCUCAAAAAAUAAGAUUUGCCAUAUCAUUCAUGAUGAUAUGACCACAUAAGGAAAAACAAGCAACCUGGCAUAACCUCAAUUACGCAGCGGAAGUGAGAAUAAGAAAAAAGAAUGCAAAAAAAGAAACAUAGUCAAAUAGUAUGACAAAACUCAAGAUGUGUCAAAAUACUCACCUAUACAAAACCAGUCAGACCUUACAAAAGUUGGUUGAUAAGUGUUGCUAGCAGAUCUUGCAGCUCUGUAAAAAGUAAAGAGCCAAAGGUGAAAUUGCAGUUAUGUCAAGUCAAAGAAUGUAGUACUGCUUUGAAAGAACA
rnacentral:lncRNA from 1 species